ACCACUAGAACUUUCUCUUUAAACCCACUAGCAUCAAUAUGCUCUUGCUCUUCCUAGGAAAAUUCUUCGGCGUUGUGCUCUCUGGUUAUCCUCUCCGACUAUUGCCUGUGGCUUCACUUGGGGUUUGCUCAUUUCAUCUUUGCUUUCUUUUCUGUAGACAUAUAUCCGGUCUUAAUCUUCAUAUAUGUUAAAGGGUAAAAACGUAUAGAUCCGGCCUGUCUUCCCUAUUCAGUAGAUAAAUAAUUAUUUCCAUAGCAUUAGAAGAGUUUCAAGGAAACUUAUUUUCUUAUGAAUCCAUAGAAUUAUAAGUUCCCAUUGUUAGUACAAGUUACAUAAUUUUUCCAUUAUUUUUGGUUUCUUAAAUAUAGUUCAGUUUCUGUAGAAUUUUUUAUUUUUCAGGCUAAAUAUCGGUUUCAUUGAUAAUGAAGAUUAGGGUUGUUAUUUUACCAGGGAUUUGGGGAUUUAGGGAUUUGGGUUUUCUGAAGGAUUUUGAUUUUUAACUGAGGUUUUUGAAGGAUUUUUACAUUCAUUCUUGCCGGAUUCAGGAAAGAGUUGUACUUCAUCAAAUUCUUCAAAAAUCUCUGUGAAGAAGCCAUUCUGUUGGGAUUCUUCGAUUGAUAGUGAACUGAGGAAGCAAUGGCGUAGAAAGUCAGCGAGAAGGUACAAGGAUUUCAUUAGCACAAUAAAAGGUGAAGGAUUUCGGUCAGAUUAUGUUCCGAAAGAAACAUGAGAAAGUUGGAUGAAAUUUUGGGAAGAUCCUAAGGUUGUUGAAAAAUCGAAAAUAGCUUCAAAGAAUCGUCGUGGCGGUUAGAGUGCAGUUGCUAGUGGGACUCACACGGGCAACUCUGUUACCAUUGGAGAGCAUCGCAAGAGACUUUGGAAAAAAUAUCAAGAAAUACUACAAAACCAGACACAGACUCAAUUUGAAGUUGAUCACUGUCAAGCCUAUUACGAAGCCGUAGGAGGGGUAAAGAAAAGAAGAAUAUAUGGUCUUGGAUCUCAAGCACAAUUAUAUUAUGGGCCGAAUUUUCUUCCGCCAUCUGGAUCUGAUGCUACAUCCUCAGUACCACCUCCGAAUGCUCAACCAGCAGCGACGAAAAAUUUGAAAGAGUUAGUGAUGCGAUUAAUCCUUGCAUUGACUGAUAGCAUGAUUCCUACAUCCACUGAUCGCAUGCUUCCUAUAAUUGUUGAGAGGGUACGUGGAUUGAUUCCUUCAGUCUCUUCUCAGACAAACACUCUUAAUGACCAUCCAUCAUCUAUGGCACCUAUAGUUCUAGCUCUAGCUACUGCCAACAUUGAUCAGGUUCAUUCAUCGGUUUUUGAUGAUGACCGUGGCUCUCCAGUCUCUCAUUAGUUAGUUUUGUUGUUUGGAUUUUAUUGUUGUUGCAUAUGAUUUUGAAUUUUUUGUUUUGGAUAUUAUCGUUGUGGAUGCUUUGAACUUGAUUUGCCUAUGUAUUUUGGACCUUGUAGAAUAUUAGUUUCUAUGAAUUAAGUUAUUAUAUGAGUAUCUAAUAUAUGCA